rnacentral:rRNA from 1 species
GCUUAAGGCCAUAUCAGCCUGGGUACUCCCGAUCUCGUCUGAUCUCGGAAGCUAAGCAGGGUCGGGCCUGGUUAGUACUUGGAUGGGAGACCGCCUGGGAAUACCAGGUGCUGUAAGAA